AUCCUCCAUCAAUAUAAAUAGUUCGAGACUUCGAGUCUACACGUAUAAACUUCUCUUGGGAAUUCUUUGUACAAAUUAGCUCUCUCGUUUGUCUUGGUAAUUCGUAUCAGCUUCGUUAGUUAACCACAAGCGGGUUGAAAAGCUUUGUUUCAUAAGAAGAUCGAUGGUUUCGUGUUCGAAAAACGAAAAACAGAAAAGGAAGCGGAAAAUCACUUACGAAGAAAGGUGCGCGAUAAUAAAUGCAUGGCUGAACUGCAAGGAUGACGGUUUCGACAAACAUAUGUCUGAAUUAAUAAGCCAAAAGAGAAAAGAAAUGCCUAACUACGAUGAAGACCGGGAAGAUUUGAUUCUUGAUUUCAAGAGGAACGGUUUUAGUUCUCUCAAAGGUGUUAAAGGUUGGGUUGAGAAAGAGAUGGAAGAAGAACUUCCGCAAAAAAUGGCUGAAUGAAGAAAAGCUAAAGAAUGCAACAAAGAAGUUCUCCUUCGCACGACGUCCAAAAGAAAAAGAAAAACAAAGUAAUGGACGAUAAUGAAGAAAAUCAACAAGAACAAACGUGUCAAAUUAGGCUCACAACCAGUAUUAUACAUAUGGAAGAAGGAGGAGAAGAAGAAAUCAACUGCAACAAAAGGAACAUACGUGCAGAAGAAUCAUGCUAUAUGUAUAGUAAGAUUCAGUAAUUGAACUUUUGACUUGUUUUAAAGUUACAGUAGUGCUAGUAAUUAGGAUUAGUGGAGGAUCCACUUUUAGUUAGAGCUUUAUACUUUUUUAAUGGAUCCCUGAACUUAAAAGUUAUUUUGA